rnacentral:rRNA from 1 species
UACGUAGGGGGCAAGCGUUGUCCGGAAUCAUUGGGCGUAAAGAGCGUGUAGGCGGCUCGGUAAGUCCGCUGUGAAAGUCCAGGGCUCAACCCUGGAAUGCCGGUGGAAACUGUCGAGCUAGAGUCCGGAAGAGGCGAGUGGAAUUCCUGGUGUAGCGGUGAAAUGCGCAGAUAUCAGGAGGAACACCAAUGGCGAAGGCAG